rnacentral:lncRNA from 1 species
AUUAAAUUUAAAUAAAAACGUAUAAAGAUUGACAUCGAUUAAUAGAGAAACGGGAGCAUGAACUUUUAAUUGUUGAUUCUCUUAUUUUAGACAAAUCUAAUUGUGGUUCUUACUCUCAACAAAUUAAGGAUUACAAACAUAUUAUAUAUAUAUU